GGCCAAAACAUCCGUCUUGGCACUUUUAAGGGUGCUGCCACCUAGAAACUGCGGACACCGAGAAUUGAGUGUUGCUAACAGGGAGAAAGACCGGACUUGCAGGUGAUAAAAUGAAUGGAGUGGGAUUAAAAUUUCAAAAUAAAAUACAGACCAGCUUGAAAAUCCCCCCAGCAGACAAAACAGUGUGAGCCGUUUAAGGCAAAACUAAAUCGAGUUUAUUUCAAAACUUACGGAAAUUUAAUGUAGGCUAUUUCUUACACAUGCCUUUGACAACUGUUUUUAAAAACAACCCUCAAGUAACGGUCCAAAACCGGGAUGCGAUAACCACCGCUUAGCCAAUCUCCUUCCCGCUGGAAACCCCCAUUGUAAUAACCAAUCACUGUAAAGGUCAAACAGCUUCCUGUUUGCUUUGUCAGCGGUCCCGAAAGGUCAAUCCUCUGAGCUUUAUACUUGGUUUCCGUUUGAAACGUACCGGUUUGUGAACAGUUUGUCUCUCCCUCAGUAAAAUAUUUCUAUCCAGAAAACUUUUCUGAAUUUUAACCGUGUUGUCGUCAGGUAGAAUGGGAAGAAUACCCCUUAAGCACCCAGAGGCAGAUAAGGUACUGAUAGCCAAGGAGCCUGCUGUGUUAACUGCCUUCUGGUGGCUCUGGGAGUUUGAGGGUAAAUCUCAGAAAUCAUUUACAAUCAUCAGCAUGCAGAAAUGCUUCAUCUUCAAGAAGUUCAUGGAAAAGACUCUAGAAUUUAAGUUCAUGAUAACUUGAAGAUCAUAACAGCAAACUGGGUGCCCAGUGGGAAGAAAAAUGAUGGAAUGUCAUGUCAAGGAAUGCACAUGUUGUAGUAGAAUUGAGCACUUAUAGGUACUACAGGCCUGUUAUUUGGUCUGAAACAUUUUUGUGAGAGGUGAGUGAAAUAUUGUUCUUUUUCCUUUG